CCUACGGGAGGCAGCAGUAGGGAAUAUUGCUCAAUGGGCGAAACCCUGAAGCAGCAACGCCGCGUGGAGGAUGAAGGUUUUCGGAUUGUAAACUCCUUUUGUUAGAGAAGAUAAUGACGGUAUCUAACGAAUAAGCACCGGCUAACUCCGUGCCAGCAGCCGCGGUCAUACGGAGGGUGCAGGCGUUACUCGGAAUCACUGGGCGUAAAGAGCGCGUAGGCGGGAUAGCAAGUCAGAUGUGAAAUCCUAUGGCUUAACCAUAGAACUGCAUUUGAAACUGUUAGUCUAGAGUAUGGGAGAGGUAGGUGGAAUUCUGGGUGUAGGGGUAAAAUCCGUAGAGAUCAAGAGGAAUACUCAUUGCGAAGGCGACCUGCUAGAACAUAACUGACGCUGAUGCGCGAAAGCGUGGGGAGCAAACAGGAUUAGAUACCCCAGUAGUC
rnacentral:rRNA from 1 species